CGGGGCUGUCUCCCGGCGUGUCGCGCCCUCCCUGACUCGUUUUUUUACACCUGAAGGGAGCUUAAAGCUGAGGAGGCAGCGCGGGGAGGAGCAGCAGCGUCCGGCUGUCUCGGCCGUGCUGAAGAAGCUGCAGGCGGUCAGUACGGCUUGUCUAUGACAUGGGAAGAACCAUAGACCUGUCUAUGAAAAUAACUAAUCAGGCGUAGGGCAGGACAGAAAAUACAAAUCCUUCGUGACCGUCUCUCAAUCUGACAUUCGUGUGAGUCCUGACUAAAAUACUACUUCUAACACUGCACAUUUAAUCUAAGAAAUCCUGCGGGUUUGGGGCAUAGUCUGGAUUUUAAGCCAAUGCGAUUCAGAUCCCCAGUGCCCUGAUUCACAGCACUUAAAACUCUACUCUGUUGCCUGCAAUCCGCAUUUAGAAGGUAGAUCACUGCUGCCAACAAGCACAUGUAUUUUCAGAUUUUUAUGGUGACAACCUUUAGAAAAAAAAAGCAAAAAUACUUGUAAGCACUCUUAUUGCAUGCACAUACUUAUCAUUCAUCUGUAAAGCAACUAGUUUUGGUGAGAUUGCUAUCAAAGCUCUGGAUUUAGAAUAAAAACAACAUGAGUACAGCUAUGGUAUACAAUAAAAAUUUACUAGUGUUUUUAAGAUUCACAAUAUAAUUUGUUCAGGCUUUUCCUUUAUAUUAAUUAACGUAUUUAAAAACAGGAGAACAGUAUUUUUCUGGUUCAUAAUUAGAAUUAAACCAAUUGCAGUAAAGUGAAUAUGGAACAAAUGGGAUUUCUGAGGCAAAUCAAAAAGUACAUAAACUCCAAAUGAAAUGUUUGAGUAAUAGACUGUAGUAGGAUUUAGACAUUCCUUACUAUGAUUCUAGUAAAACUGUGCUGGUAACUUUACCCUGCUUCUAAGCAUAUUUGAAAUACUUCUUGUAAUCAGAUUAUACCAGAUGCUGGGGAAGGUUUGGAGUCUAGGACUGCAUGUUGAACCACAGACAACUAGGCAGAUCUACCAGCUUGGAAAAGUAACCUAAACCCCUAAACCACAGAUGAGCCCAUUGCCUUCUCCUCACAGCUGACUUCAGGAGCACAGAAGAAUUUAAAAUGAGAGUGAAGCGUCUCAGAAAACUCGGUCACAGCCAGUGGAGACCCUCCCAGCUGUCAGCAAGAAGGAAACACACCCUCCUGGGUAGCUUCCCUCACAGCUGCUUUAGCUGCUUUUAGAGCCAGGCCCUGGAUCAUCCAAAUGACAGGCAAAGAAUUUGUGUUGCUCUCAUAACCCCCUGUGCAUUGGCGCUUAGGGAACUCCAUAUCCUUUUAAAGAGUUGACAACCAGCCUCAGUGUAAAUACUAAUUUUCUAAAAUUGCUGGUGUGGCAAUUAUAAUUUCAAAUAAAAUUUUAUGUGCCUUUUCACCAAAGAAGGCGCUUAAAGGCUUUCCGCUAUAAGCAGGUUCAACCAAAAUAUGAUCUCGCAAUUCUUCAAGUUCCAACUGGUGGGAGAAGAAAGGAGGCAGCAGAUGAAUUGAGCUACAAUACCCUUGAAUCCUCCAUCCCAGAGCCUCAGACGUAGAAGAAUUAACCAGGGAGGGGGCAUAACCUCUCCUGGCCAGCCUUUUCUGUGCAUGGACGUUCCUCCCACCACGCAGCAGCCACCAGCCCCCUGCCAUCCGUGUCACCUGGAGCUCAGCUGUCCCUCAGAGCCCCAGCACAAGCACUAACAGGAGCAAGGAGGUGACAGACCUGCCCCGACUCUUCUCCAGCUGCUGCCCUACAGCCGCCAGGCGUUAAGAAGGACUUCUCUGGAACACGUGGAGCAACAGGUGGACUUAGGUGACAGUCCUGCUCCAGGAGUGCCUCAGGGACACUAAGGCCAUGAUAGGAACCAGUCCUUUUCUGCUCCCCAGCAUGACGACCCCCAGUAACGCUGUCUUGCUGUUGCACUGGCAUCAGCUCUGCCUUUGAAGCUGGAAAUGGUUUAUGGGUGUGAUAGGGUGAAGGUGGCUGCUUGUACCGCUUGUUGGUGAGCCUGGCCCCUAGUGUCAUUGUAUCCUACGUAAAGACUCAGUUCAAAACAUGAAGGCUAAAACCCAUUUCUAAAAGUUAGUAUUUCUACAGUGAUGUAAAAUCCAGAGGGACCAUGACAAACUUCAACCCCUUUCUCUUUACAUUGAGAGAUGUUUGUUAGAUGUUGCCUCCUCUAACAGUUCAAAGCCUCGCUCUAU